UACGGGGGGAGCAAGCGUUGUUCGGAUUUACUGGGCGUAAAGGGCGCGUAGGCGGCCAGCACAAGUCAGUUGUGAAAUCUCCGAGCUUAACUCGGAAAGGUCAACUGAUACUGUGCGGCUAGAGUGCGGAAGGGGCAACUGGAAUUCUUGGUGUAGCGGUGAAAUGCGUAGAUAUCAAGAAGAACACCUGCGGCGAAGGCGGGUUGCUGGGCCGACACUGACGCUGAUGCGCGAAAGCUAGGGGAGCGAACAGG
rnacentral:rRNA from 1 species